rnacentral:rRNA from 1 species
GCAGUCGACGCUUCUUUUUNNNCGGAGCUUGCUCCACCGGAAAAAGAGGAGUGGCGAACGGGUGAGUAACACGUGGGUAACCUGCCCAUCAGAAGGGGAUAACACUUGGAAACAGGUGCUAAUACCGUAUAACAAUCAAAACCGCAUGGUUUUGAUUUGAAAGGCGCUUUCGGGUGUCGCUGAUGGAUGGACCCGCGGUGCAUUAGCUAGUUGGUGAGGUAACGGCUCACCAAGGCCACGAUGCAUAGCCGACCUGAGAGGGUGAUCGGCCACAUUGGGACUGAGACACGGCCCAAACUCCUACGGGAGGCAGCAGUAGGGAAUCUUCGGCAAUGGACGAAAGUCUGACCGAGCAACGCCGCGUGAGUGAAGAAGGUUUUCGGAUCGUAAAACUCUGUUGUUAGAGAAGAACAAGGAUGAGAGUAACUGUUCAUCCCUUGACGGUAUCUAACCAGAAAGCCACGGCUAACUACGUGCCAGCAGCCGCGGUAAUACGUAGGUGGCAAGCGUUGUCCGGAUUUAUUGGGCGUAAAGCGAGCGCAGGCGGUUUCUUAAGUCUGAUGUGAAAGCCCCCGGCUCAACCGGGGAGGGUCAUUGGAAACUGGGAGACUUGAGUGCAGAAGAGGAGAGUGGAAUUCCAUGUGUAGCGGUGAAAUGCGUAGAUAUAUGGAGGAACACCAGUGGCGAAGGCGGCUCUCUGGUCUGUAACUGACGCUGAGGCUCGAAAGCGUGGGGAGCAAACAGGAUUAGAUACCCUGGUAGUCCACGCCGUAAACGAUGAGUGCU